CCCCCGGGCGCGGCCGCGCACGACGCCGACCUGGGCCAGCACGGUGGCGAGCUCCAGCGGCGCGGGUGUUCAGUGAGCCACAGGCAAGAAGAGCCAUUUUAGUCUUCACAGCUGGGGGCCCGGAGACAUCUAAUUGAGUCUGGAUGCUUUAUUUGGCUUUCCUUAUUUUGGACACUUAGCGAAUUCAAAAUUUACCUCGGAAACACCUGCACCACUUUGGGAAAGAAACAAAAUUGAGGACUCUUUCUUCUGUGGACAGUUGACAGUAAUUUUUUGAGUUGACUUGUUAAUCAUUAAGAAAAUUACUGUAACACUCCAGUUUAUACUGAAAUUCUUUUUCAGCUUGUAGGUUUAAAAGUUCAGCUUGCAGUAUUCAAAUACUGUGGAAGCCUCUUGAUUUAAUGGACCGGUUGUGGUUUCUAAUCCAAGCAAGGCAAAACCUCUUACCCAAAGAGCUCAGAAAAAAAUCCCACGAUUAAAAAAUAUUUUGUAAUUGAAA